rnacentral:rRNA from 1 species
GACGAACGCUGGCGGCGUGCUUAACACAUGCAAGUCGAACGGAAAGGCCCUGCUUGCAGGGUACUCGAGUGGCGAACGGGUGAGUAACACGUGGGUGAUCUGCCCUGCACUUCGGGAUAAGCCUGGGAAACUGGGUCUAAUACCGGAUAGGAGCCAUUUUUAGUGUGAUGGUUGGAAAGUUUUUUCUGUGUAGGAUGAGCUCGCGGCCUAUCAGCUUGUUGGUGGGGUAAUGGCCUACCAAGGCGGCGACGGGUAGCCGGCCUGAGAGGGUGGACGGCCACAUUGGGACUGAGAUACGGCCCAGACUCCUACGGGAGGCAGCAGUGGGGAAUAUUGCACAAUGGGCGCAAGCCUGAUGCAGCGACGCCGCGUGGGGGAUGACGGCCUUCGGGUUGUAAACUCCUUUCGCUAGGGACGAAGCUUUUUGUGACGGUACCUAGAGAAGAAGCACCGGCUAACUACGUG